rnacentral:rRNA from 1 species
CCUACGGGAGGCUGCAGUGAGGAAUAUUGGUCAAUGGACGAGAGUCUGAACCAGCCAAGUAGCGUGAAGGAUGACUGCCCUAUGGGUUGUAAACUUCUUUUAUAAAGGAAUAAAACGAGGCACGUGUGCCUUUUUGCAUGUACUUUAUGAAUAAGGAUCGGCUAACUCCGUGCCAGCAGCCGCGGUAAUACGGAGGAUCCGAGCGUUAUCCGGAUUUAUUGGGUUUAAAGGGAGCGUAGAUGGGUUGUUAAGUCAGUUGUGAAAGUUUGCGGCUCAACCGUAAAAUUGCAAUUGAUACUGGCAGUCUAGAGUACAGUUGAGGUAGGCGGAAUUCGUGGUGUAGCGGUGAAAUGCUUAGAUAUCACGAAGAACCCCGAUUGCGAAGGCAGCUUACUAAACUGUGACUGACAUUGAUGCUCGAAAGUGUGGGUAUCAAACAGGAUUAGAUACCCCAGUAGUC